rnacentral:rRNA from 1 species
GGCCUAACACAUGCAAGUCGAGGGGCAGCACAAUAGAAGCUUGCUUUUAUGGUGGCGACCGGCGCACGGGUGAGUAACGCGUAUGCAACCUACCCUGUACUGGGGAAUAACUCGAAGAAAUUCGGACUAAUACCCCAUAGUGUAAUUGAUAGGCAUCUAUUGAUUAUUAAAGGUUACGGUACGGGAUGGGCAUGCGUUCCAUUAGCUAGUUGGUAUGGUAACGGCAUACCAAGGCUACGAUGGAUAGGGGGCCUGAGAGGGUGAUCCCCCACACUGGAACUGAGACACGGUCCAGACUCCUACGGGAGGCAGCAGUGAGGAAUAUUGGUCAAUGGGCGCAAGCCUGAACCAGCCAUGCCGCGUGCAGGAAGAAUGUCCUAUGGAUUGUAAACUGC